GGAACGGGAAGCGGCGCCAUUCAUGCCACCCCACGGAAGUGUAUAAGGAAGCCAACCGCGGCUUUGACACCUCCUCGCCCGCCGCCGCCGUCCCGCGCCGCCGCAGCCUCGCGCGUCCGGCCAUGGCGCCGCCGUCCUCCGAAGAGCCGGCCGCCGCCGCCGCCGAGGCCGGCGCCAUCUCCAAGGUCCUCGUCGUCAUAG
rnacentral:rRNA from 1 species